rnacentral:rRNA from 1 species
AACGAACGCUGGCGGCAUGCCUAACACAUGCAAGUCGAACGAGACCUUCGGGUCUAGUGGCGCACGGGUGCGUAACGCGUGGGAACCUGCCCUUAGGUUCGGAAUAACUCCCCGAAAGGGGUGCUAAUACCGGAUAAUGUCUUCGGACCAAAGAUUUAUCGCCUUUGGAUGGGCCCGCGUUGGAUUAGCUAGUUGGUAGGGUAAAAGCCUACCAAGGCGACGAUCCAUAGCUGGUCUGAGAGGAUGAUCAGCCACACUGGGACUGAGACACGGCCCAGACUCCUACGGGAGGCAGCAGUGGGGAAUAUUGGACAAUGGGCGAAAGCCUGAUCCAGCAAUGCCGCGUGAGUGAUGAAGGCCUUAGGGUUGUAAAGCCCUUUUACCCGGGAUGAUAAUGACAGUACCGGGAGAAUAAGCUCCGGCUAACUCCGG